AAAAUUGAUUUUUUUUAUUUUCUGAUCAGAGUUAACGGUAUUCCUUCCAUUACGCUAUUUAACAAAAUAUGAUAGGAAUAGUAACUGAAGUAACUAUAAAUAAACAGAAUCAAAUUGCAUGAACUGAUGUAAUGGCUUGCGACGAUUCGCUUGAAAGUUCACAGUGUAAUCUUCUGAGAAUAACUAAUAAUUCUUAUCCACAACGGAAUAAAGGUCGAAAUGCGCAUCAGCUUCAAGUUUAAACAUGCCUGCUUGCAAACGUCAAAAUUGUUUCUACACAUUUAUAGUUACAAAUGUAACAUUUUUUUCUUAAACUAGAAGUUUCAUAAUCUGGGAAUCUUUUAUACGCUUUACCAAUAACAUCACAAGUCUGCCUAAUAUAUCUUGACGUGAUUUAUUUAGAUAUAAAUAUGCUUACAAAUUUUUUUGGGUCCAUCGGAAGCAGAUGAAAUAAAGUCGAUCAGCAUAGAUCGGUGCCAGAAAAAUUAAUAAACAUUCUAGAACUAUAGUUAAACUCGCAUGUUUACGGUUUGAAAGCAUAUCUCCGCAAUUUUGAACAAAAUACAUUUUGUAAUAGGUAGGACAUUAGUAAAUAGAUACGCCUUAUAAAAUAUCGAAGCCAUUCGUCAGAGAAAUUCCAUGUUGAUUCCUUUGCGAGCACCAGUAUAAUAAACAUUUGUAUAGUAACCCCAACAUAAUUAGAAAAGAUACAUGGGCCAGAUUACAGAUAGCAUCUCUCACAGUUAUUUUAAAUAGCUUUGAAAAUGUGUCGUCUUUUAAGUCAGGCCAUAUAGUCCACGACUCAACGAUGAUAGAUGGACCAAACGACUAUUAGGAUGCAGACACCGUGAAGAUAGAGGAAGUCAGGGCAGACCACCGAACGAUGAGCAGACGAUAUACGGAAAAUAUAACACAACUGGAUGCCACUUGCGCAACAUAUAAAUUUUUGACGGCGUAUGGAGGAGGCUUAUGUCCAGCAGUGAACACCAGAAGAAGCUGGAUGAUGAGUUGAUGAUGAUAAGAGCAACUAACCCAAACAGAAGACCUUCUAUAAUCUUUCGGCGGUCAAAUCAUAUUCCUUUAGUUACAGUACACUAUUGUCGAAUUCAGGAGAGAAAGACGUUGAUACAGAUACUAAGUAGUUCAUUUGGAGAGUGAUUAUAUUUUUGUAUCCGCGAAAACGAUAGUUUUUGUUCUACUAUAUUACAAAAUUAUAAAGCUUGACAUUUUACCUGCUCCAAGAUAAAUUAUGAGUUCCUAUAAGUAGCUCAAAAAACUUCCCUCUAGAAGCAAAUGAAGCAGUCAUUAUUAAUUUGUGUAGAAUCUUGAUAUUUAGUAGCAGUUGGUAUUUUUUGUUCUUAGCACUAAACCGCCAAUUAUUCAAUUUAAUAAAAAAAAAUAAAACUCGAUUUGCAUAAGAUUCGCCCUCCAGAGCGCUUGCCGAUGGUUUAAAACAUGAACAGUUGUAUUCCUGCAUAUUACUUUUAAUUUGCAAAUCAUUACAGGAGAAUCAACUUUUAAGCUAACGGGCAGACGUUGUAAGACGACAAAGAUCCCGGCAAAUUUAUACAGACAAUGAUAAAUUAGCUGUAUAGUGAAAGAAUAAAUUAUUAAUCUGAUGAAUGGGUCAUUACUAUGCGGUGUUGUCUCAAGCACAAGCCACUACUGUAAUGAAACAUGUCAUCAAGCGUUGACGGUAAAAAAUUGUUAUGUUUACGGAUUGUUAAACCACUGUUAUGGUGAGUCUUUAUGAAUGUUUUUGUAAGUGGGAUUGACCAGAUUAAGAGAUAUGAGUCUAUUUGGCAUUCAAACAGAUUACAAUGCAUUAACAUAUAAAAUUUUAAAUAAACUAAUUCAUUAUUACUGCUAAAAAUUAUUCUUACGUGUACACAUAUUGGCUAGCGGAAUCAACACAAUGCAAUAAAAAUAAACGAUGACUGUUUGAA